rnacentral:lncRNA from 1 species
CAGGUGUCGUUUGAAGACAAUGUACAUGUGGAUGUGUUUAGCCGUAUAUCGACCGUAAAUGCAUGUAUUUGUAGAAGAAGGUAGAAAUAGUGAACUAUAUAUGAAUAAGUGUAUUAUGUUCUCUUUUUUUUCAAAGAUUCAUCCCCUAAAAUGAUACAAGAUUGGCGUGAUCAGGCCGAAGUGGUUACCGUUAGAUCCAAUUCACAUGACCUGAUCUAUUAGACCUUGGCAUCAUAUCAACCUAUCUCACAUUAAUUACAUUGACAUACAUUUGACAAAGGGAUCAACCACUCUACAUUUGUAGGCUGACAUCCCUGACAUUUAUUUUAGGAGAGCAUAACAUCAAUCAAUUCCAAAGGUGUGCUUAUCAUACUCUCUUCUAGUCGUUAAGGACUUCGGGAGUUGUGGAGUUCAACGGAAAGAAGUAGACCCACCUCGGAUACGUAAGGGCCAGGACCACUUUGGAUAACUCUAGUGAAACAACCUCAUUGUUGCAACAGCCUCGGCCGUUAACCUUUUUAUAACUAUUUUGACCCAAUGCCACGUGUAUGAAUAUGGGGAUUUCAUGUGGACCGUAAUGUAUGAUUAACAACACAUAUGUACAUACAUUGUUGUAUCUUCU